CAAAGUGAUUCGAUCUGAACCAACACUUAGAAAAAUUUUAACAUUUCCCCUCCAAAUGAUUGCUGAAAGAUGGCCAACUUUAGGAGCUUAAAGAAAAUUGCAAGAGUCAACAAAAAAAAAGCAGAAAAAAACAACCAAGCCACUGUUAAGAGGACUCUGUGGAGAAGAAUCUAGGCCCCAGCCCAACUCUCCAGGUUCCACAUUUAUGUGAAAUCAUAUGAUAUUUGCAUUUACAGUAAACCAUAAGACAGAGGCAUUACCCAGGUAGGCCUGAUCUAAUCUCAUGGGCCAUUAAAAGCAAAGAGUUUUCCCUGCCUGGCUGUAGAAGAGAGAUAAGGUCAGAAAUGUGAACCAUGAGAGGGUAUAAUGUACCACUGCUGGCUCUGAAGAUGGAGGGAGCCUGGGCAAGGAUGAGACAGAGGGCUUUAGCUGCUGACAAUGAGUUCUAGCCAACAACUAGCAAGGUCCUACAACAAGGACCUGAUUUCACCAGCAACCUGAAAAAGCCUAGAAGUGGAUUCUUUCCCAGAGCCUCUACACAGUUCCCUCUGUCCAGAACCUUGAUUUGGGCCUUGUGAUAUCCUUAGGCAUACAGUCCAGCCCAGUCACCUUAGAGUCAUCUACGGAACUGUGAGCUAAUAAAUGACUGCUGUUUUAA